rnacentral:rRNA from 1 species
GAUGAACGCUGGCGGCGUGCCUAAUACAUGCAAGUCGAGCGAACAGACGAGGAGCUUGCUCCUCUGACGUUAGCGGCGGACGGGUGAGUAACACGUGGAUAACCUACCUAUAAGACUGGGAUAACUUCGGGAAACCGGAGCUAAUACCGGAUAAUAUAUUGAACCGCAUGGUUCAAUAGUGAAAGACGGUUUUGCUGUUACUUAUAGAUGGAUCCGCGCCGCAUUAGCUAGUUGGUAAGGGAACGGCUUACCAAGGCAACGAUGCGUAGCCGACCUGAGAGGGUGAUCGGCCACACUGGAACUGAGACACGGUCCAGACUCCUACGGGAGGCAGCAGUGGGGAAUCUUGCGCAAUGGGCGAAAGCCUGACGGAGCAACGCCGCGUGAGUGAAGAAGGUCUUCGGAUCGUAAAACUCUGUUAUUAGGGAAGAACAAAUGUGUAAGUAACUAUGCACGUCUUGACGGUACCUAAUCAGAAAGCCACGGCUAACUACGUG